GAUGAACGCUGGCGGCGUGCUUAACACAUGCAAGUCGAACGGGAAACCUUUUAUUGAAGCUUCGGUAGAUUUAGCUGGUUUCUAGUGGCGGACGGGUGAGUAACGCGUGGGUAACCUGCCUUAUACAGGGGGAUAACAACCAGAAAUGGUUGCUAAUACCGCAUAAGCGCACAGGACCGCAUGGUCCGGUGUGAAAAACUCCGGUGGUAUAAGAUGGACCCGCGUUGGAUUAGCUAGUUGGCAGGGUAACGGCCUACCAAGGCGACGAUCCAUAGCCGGCCUGAGAGGGUGAACGGCCACAUUGGGACUGAGACACGGCCCAGACUCCUACGGGAGGCAGCAGUGGGGAAUAUUGCACAAUGGGGGAAACCCUGAUGCAGCGACGCCGCGUGAAGGAAGAAGUAUCUCGGUAUGUAAACUUCUAUCAGCAGGGAAGAUAGUGACGGUACCUGACUAAGAAGCCCCGGCUAACUACGUG
rnacentral:rRNA from 1 species